rnacentral:rRNA from 1 species
ACGCACGCUGGCGGCGUGCCUAAUACAUGCAAGUCGAGCGAAGUUUUUCUGGUGCUUGCACCGGAAAAACUUAGCGGCGAACGGGUGAGUAACACGUAAAGAACUUGCCUCAUAGACUGGGACAACUAUUGGAAACGAUAGCUAAUACCGGAUAAUAGCAUUAACUGCAUGGUUGAUGUUUAAAAGUUGGUUUUGCUAACACUAUGAGAUGGUUUUGCGGUGCAUUAGCUAGUUGGUGGGGUAAAGGCCUACCAAGGCGACGAUGCAUAGCCGCCCUGAGAGGGUGAUCGGCCACACUGGGACUGAGACACGGCCCAGACUCCUACGGGAGGCAGCAGUAGGGAAUCUUCCGCAAUGGGCGAAAGCCUGACGGAGCAACGCCGCGUGAGUGAAGAAGGAUUUCGGUUCGUAAAGCUCUGUUGUUAGGGAAGAAUGAUUGUGUAGUAACUAUACACAGUAGAGACGGUACCUAACCAGAAAGCCACGGCUAACUACGUG